AUACUUAUCUGGCAGGGGAGAUACCAUGAUCAAGAAGGUUGUUCUCCCAGUGUGAGGCUAUACCAUUGCACUUGGGUCGUGCUGAACCUGGCAAAUUCCAUAAAUGUGGGAAUCUCGUCUGCAUAAUUUCUGGUAGGGGGGACUGUGUUCACGCUCUCCCCUG